rnacentral:rRNA from 1 species
CCCUGCCAUUUGUACACACCGCCCGUCGCUCCUACCGAUUGAGUAAUCCGGUGAAUGGUCCGAACGCUCCUGAGCCUCGUGCAACAAGCAUCGUUAACCUCACUACUUAGAGGAAGGAGAAGUCGUAACAAGGU